UUCAGUCUGGGCAACAUAGUGAGACCCCAUCUCUUUAAAAAACAAAACAAAAAAACAUCGCCAGGAAGUUGCUUACAUGUCUUCUAUUCCUAUAACAUCGGCCUGAGCUUAGUCACAUGGCCAUACCCAGCAGAAAGAACGUCUAGGAAAUGUGGUCUUAUGCUAGGUAACCCCAAACCCAGCUAAAACUGUUGCUUUUGAAGAAGGGUGAAACAGACAAUGUGGAAGAGAAUUACCAGUCUGCCACAAAGAGAAAGAAUUCUAUGUGAGGAAAACGCUUGAGAAGAGGGAGCUGAUUAAUUAAUUAUAUCUCAGCCGAGAGGAUGUUAUGAGAAACACAGAUUUGGGUUUAAUAGAAAAACUUAGAACCCUUCAAGAAGGAAUGGGCGGACUUGAGAGUGUCCUCUGCUUCUGAAAAUGAUCAAGAAAAAUGGUAAGAAUGUACACCUCAAGGGUGGAUGGUAAAGGUCAGCCUUUAAGCCUCAAUGGCGGUGUGGUUGUAGGUGGGGUGGGGGUGGAGGCCCCGAAGACAGGCAGACUACCACAGUAGCCCCGAUGGAAGCAGUGAGAAUGAACUGGAAGGAGCGGCGGUGGGG
rnacentral:lncRNA from 1 species